rnacentral:rRNA from 1 species
CAUUAUUAUAUCUGGAUCGAUUUGAUUAAACCUAUAACCAAAUCCUGCAAUUAAUAAAUCUAUUUACAGCAUCUAAGGUUAGCUACAGAAGUCUAUGUGUGAUUUGAAUUUGAAAUUUAAGUUAAUAUUUAACAACCAUAAAUAUGACCAACUAUAAUAAAUCAAAUCGGGGGUUGUCGAAUUUAGUUUAGAUUCUCUGGAAAGAAAUAAUAACAGCCACAUACUUUAAGUUUUUAUAUAGUACUUUAAUAAGUUUAGUAGUUAGGUUCUAAUCUAAUUUCUGAGUUUUGUUUUUUCGUAUCAAGCUUUAAUGUAGAUAUUGAACCAAAAGAUUUGCAACUGGAUUUUUGGCCUGCAUAGUUUGUUUUAUGACAAAGUA